rnacentral:lncRNA from 1 species
CACACUCAUCGUAGCAGAGAGGCAGGAACAGCUGGGCGAGGGUCCUUCUGUGACAUCUACUGCAUCACUGGGCUCUGUGAAGUGACUCAGCUGCCAGAACUCACACAAUAUUCUGCACCAAAACCUCACGGGAAAAAUGCAUCACGAACCUCAGACUUAAACAGCACAACAGGCUCCUCCCAGGUCUCCAGCUACACAACCCUCAGACUUAAACAACAGCAGCGGCACCAGCUCCUCCCUGGGUCUCCAGCUCCACAAACCUCAAAUUAGAACAGCAGCACUGGCUACACCCAGUCUCCAGCUCUACACCUCUAACUUGAACUACAGCCACCAGCUCCUUCCUGGGUCUCCGGCUCCACAGACCUUAAACGAAAACAGCAGCACUGGCUCCUCCCCAGGUCCCCAGCUACAGACCCUCAAACAAGAAGAACAGCAGCACCAGCUCCACCUAAAGUCUCCAGCUCCACACCUCAAACUAGAACUUCAGCACCCGCUCCUCCCCGAGUCUCAAUAUCUGUGACCCUCAAAAUAAAACAGCAGGACCAGCUCCUCCUCUGGUCUUCAGCUUCACGACCUUAACUGUAACAGCACCACCCGCUCCUCCGGGGUCAACAGCUCCGACGCUAAAACUAGAACAGCAGACCAGCUUCUACCUAAAACACCAGCUCCGAGACUCUCAAACAAGAACAGCAGCACUGACUUCUCUCACCAGGUCUCCAGCUCCACGAUCCUGAAACUUGAACGGCAGCACCCGCUCCUCCCCGGGUCUCCAGCUCCACGAACCUCAAACUUGAACAGCAGCACCCGCUCCUCCCAGCGUCUCCAGCUCCAUGAACCUCAAACUUGAACAGCAGUACCCGCUCCUCCCCGGGUCUCCAGCUCCACGAACCUCAAACUUGAACAGCAGCACUCGCUCCUCCCAAGGUCUCCAGCCACUCAUCCCUCAAACUGUUGCUCCUCCCUGUGUCUCCAGCUUCAUGACCCUCAAACUUGAACUGGGGCACCCGUUCCUCCCCGGGUCUCCAGCUCCACGACACGUGAACUGCAGCACUUGAUCCUUCCUGAGUCUCCAGCUCCAUGACCCUUAUACUUGAACAGCAGCACCAAUUCCUGCCCAGGUCUCCAGCCUCAUGACCUUCAAAUUUAAAAAGCAGAACUGGCUCCAACCCAGGUCUCCAGCUCCACCAUCAUCAAACUUGAAUGGCAGCACUAGCUCGCCACAAAGUCUCCAGCUCCCAUGACCCUCAAAUGUGAACAGCAGCACUGGCUCCUCCCCAGGUGUUCAGUUUCACGACCCUAACUAUUACAGCAACACCUGCUCCUCCCCAGGUCACCAACUCCAAGACCCUAAAACUAGAACAGCAGACCGGCUCCUACCCAGGUCACCAGCUCCAAGACUCUCAAACUAGAACAGCAGCACUGACUUCUUGCCAGGUCUCCAGCUCCAUGACCCUCAAGCUUGAACCGCAGCAACAGCUCCACCCAGGUCUCCAGCUCCACAAACCUUAAACAACAGCACCGGCUCCUCCAGAGGUCCCCAGCUACAGACCCUCAAACUAGAACAGGAGCACUGACUCCUGCCCAGAUAUCCAGCUCCACGAACCUCAAACUUGAACUGCAGUACCAGCUCCUUCCCGGGUCUUUAGCUCCGUGACCCUGAAAAUAAAACAGCAGCACUGGCUUUUCCCCAGAUCCCCAGCUCCACGACCCUCAAAUUUAAAAAGCAGCACCAGCUCCUCCCUGGGUCAGCACCUCCAUGACCCUCAAACCUGAACUGCAGCACUGGCUCCUCCCCGGGUCACCAGAUCCCAGACCCUCAAACUAGAACAGCAGCACUGACUCCUCCCCAUAUCUCCAGCUCCAUGACCAUCAAACUUGAAGACUAGCACCAUUUCCUUUCUGGGUCUCCAGCUCCACGACCCUCAGACUUGAACAGCAGUGCCAACUCCUUUCUGGGUCUCCAGCUCCACUAUCUUCAGACUUGAACAGCAGCACCAGCUUCUCCCCAGGUCUCCAGCUCCAUGACCCUCAAACAGGAACAGCAGCACCGGCUCCUCCCUGGGUCUCCAGCUCCUCAAGUCUGAGGAUCAUGGAGCUGGAGACCCAGAAAGGCAAUGGUGCUACUCUUCAAGUCUGAGGGUCAUGGAACUGGAGACCCGGGGAGGAGCUGGUGCUACCGCUGUUCAAGUUUGAGCAUCUUGGAGCUGGAGACCCAGGGAGCCGCCACUCGAACGGUAGCUCCUCCCCCAGUCUCUAGCUCCAUGACCCUCAAACUCGAAGAGUAGCACCAUUUCCUUUCUGGGUCUCCAGCUCCAUGACCCUCAGACUUGAACAGCAGCACCAGCUCCUUUCUGGGUCUCCAGCUCUCCUAUCUUCAGACUUGAAUGGCAACACCAGCUUCUCCCCACGUCUCCAGCUCCACGACCCUCAGACUUCGACAGCAAUCCGGCUCUUCCCCUGGUCUCCAGCUCCAUGACCCUCAAACUAGAACAGCAGCACCGGUUCCUUUCUGGGUCUCCAGCUCCACGAUAUUCAGACUUGAAUGGCAGCACCAACUUUUCCCUGGGUCUUCAGCUCCAUGACCUUCAGACUUGAACGGCAGCACUGGCUCCUCCCCUCUCCAGCUCCAUGACCUUCAGACUUGAACGGCAGCGCCGGCUCCUCCCUGGGUCUCGAACCUGCCCAGCCUGCAGAUUUUGGACUUGCUAGCCUUCAGGAUCACAUUAGCCAAUUCCUUAAACUCAACCUCUUUCUCUGUAUGUAGGAUAUGGACACCUCCUGCUGGCUCUUUUUCCGGAGAGCCCAGUGAACACACCGUGCAUCAGGCUCCAUCAUUCACCAGAGCGUCUUUCCAACAGACUUUGCUGUGAUAUUUCUUAAAUAAAGGUCACUCCAAAGACCCUCACCUCUGGAUUGUAACCAACUCAGUGGCAGACUUAAUCCAUUUCUAUCUGCUGACAUUUCUCACAUGGAAUAGGCUGUUUGACAGAUUGAAGCUGUCUCCCCCCACUCCCCAGGCCAGUGCACACUUAUCUCCCUUGAAUGUUCAUUUUGUGCUCAUUUUAGAGACUGAGGCACAAAGACAGGCAAAUACAAGGUGAAGUCAG